rnacentral:lncRNA from 1 species
GUCUGAGGCUUUUUAUUAUUACAACAAAGUUCUUAACAUUCACAAAUUUAAGGUGAGAGAGAAACAGCUAGAAAACAAACCAGGCUGCCACACUGCUGGCAGGCAGGCACUGUCACUGGUGUCACUUCUUUGGCUUUGAGCUCUUGCCUCCCUCCUUCAGGCCAGCACAUCUGCAAAGGCUCUGCUUGAUGCUCUUUGCUCAGUGCCGACAUGGGACAAGGUGGCUUCUGCCACCUCUCUCCUCUGAGCAGACACUUCCAAAAUGUACAGCAAAUUGCACUGCCAGAGGAAGGCCAGCAAGGUAGAAAAAAAAUCUAUACAUAGAGGAGGUAGUAACUGUGAUUUUUAAAUAACCCUUUUGUUUUCUCUUAGCUGACUCACAACUCCCUUCAGCUUUAACACAAAAAAAAACAAACCACAAGAAUACCGAACACGCACAAAAAGGGCCAAAACCCAACAACUUUGUUAUCCUACCAGCAAUAGCCACAGCCUAAAUAGUACUUUUUUUUACUUCAGUGGAGAGACUAGCUAAGAAAAAUGACACCCUUGCUGGUCAGAACAUGUGUUCUUUGCAAGAGGCCAGUCAGAAAAUGAUCAGAGUAGUCUUUAUGCAGAUGAGGAACCACUACUUUUCUCCUGUAACUAGGCGGUGAUUCCACUCAUCAUUACCACUAACAGCAGUCAGUAGCCUAAGCACAGCAGCGCAGGGAUGGGGCUGCUAGUGCCAAACUGUGCCAUGGCUACGCAAGUCAAACGUUACUGAAGGAUCCAGAGCUACAGAAGUGGCCAAAAAUUGUAGCGGCACACACCUACUGUGCAUUACUUGGGUACUUUUGACCCUACCAGUUCACACCAUGUUUGCCAGUUACUUCCAAGCUUGGCUACAGUGAAUCCAAUACUAGCAGGGUUUUUCUCUUGGAAUAAGGCACUACAGCACAGGAGCACUUUAACAGGACUUGAAAGAUUUUACGGCUCUUGACAGAUUAUCUUUGGCUCUUCUAAAGCAGGCAUAAAAAGAAGCACUUUAAGAUAAAUAAGAGGGUGGGGACGUAAGGAGAAGGUACUAGAUGAAACGGUGUGAUUUUUGAAAGUCUUCAGGCAAGAGGCUUGAUCUUACCUUUUAAUCUUUUCACUUGUGCUUACUUACCAGGGUACAGUUGGAAAAAAGAAAGGUCUGUCUUUGCAGUGAAAGCUGGUGCACUUUAUAAAAUAAAGUCACUGGCUUCUGUUUGUCACUUCACUGCAAGGCUUCCACUCAGGUCGGUUUUUCCUCAGAGCAGCUGGUUGAAACAAGCUUCAACUCCAGCUCUCAGGAUUUCCUCUUUACACUGUUAUCGCCACCAAAAGGGAAACCCCCCUUUCUUCUCAACACAUCCCAGUCCCAUUUUUGUUUCCACACAGGUAUUAUCUUUACACCCUUGCACCAAAAAAAAAUUUAAAAAUAAAGAA